CACGUAGGAUCCAAGCGUUAUCCGGAUUUACUGGGCGUAAAGCGCGUGUAGGUGGUUUGUUAAGUUGGGUGUUAAAUCUCUCGGCUCAACUGAGAGGUGUCGCUCAAAACUAGCAGACUGGAGGACGGUAGAGGAAGGUGGAAUUCCGGGUGUAGUGGUGAAAUGCGUAGAUAUCCGGAGGAACAUCAGUGGCGAAGGCGGCCUUCUGGACCGCUCCUGACACUCCAACGCGAAAGCUAGGGGAGCAAACGGG
rnacentral:rRNA from 1 species